rnacentral:rRNA from 2 species
UGGGGAAUAUUGCGCAAUGGGCGAAAGCCUGACGCAGCGACGCCGCGUGGGGGAUGAAGGCCUUCGGGUUGUAAACCCCUUUCAGCAGGGACGAAGCGAAAGUGACGGUACCUGCAGAAGAAGCGCCGGCUAACUACGUGCCAGCAGCCGCGGUAACACGUAGGGCGCAAGCGUUGUCCGGAAUUAUUGGGCGUAAAGAGCUCGUAGGCGGUCUGUUGCGUCCGCUGUGAAAACUCGGGGCUUAACCCCGAGCCUGCAGUGGAUACGGGCAGACUAGAGGUAGGUAGGGGAGAAUGGAAUUCCCGGUGUAGCGGUGAAAUGCGCAGAUAUCGGGAGGAACACCGGUGGCGAAGGCGGUUCUCUGGGCCUUACCUGACGCUGAGGAGCGAAAGCGUGGGGAGCGAACA